rnacentral:rRNA from 1 species
CUGGACUGUUGGACGCAGGCGUGGUUAAGAAGACUGGUGGAGGCGUGAACGGUAUGGACGGGGCGUAAAGCGUGCGUAGGCGGUGAUGUAAGUCUGCGGUGAAAUCCCCGGGCGCAAACUGUGAAUGGCAGUGGAUAGUGGGGGGCGAUAGUGUGAUAGAGGGUGGUGGAAUUCGCGGUGUAGCGGGGAAAUGCGUAGAGAUCGUGAGGAACAUCAGGGGCGAAGGCGGCCAUCUGGAUCAACACGGUCGCUGAGGCACGAAAGCGUGGGGAGCAAACAGGAUUAGAUACCCGUGUAGUC